rnacentral:rRNA from 1 species
AGAAUCAACGCUGGCGGCGUGCCUAACACAUGCAAGUCGAACGCGAAAGUCCCGCAAGGGGCAAGUAGAGUGGCAAACGGGUGAGUAACACGUGGGUGACCUGCCUUCGAGUGGGGGAUAACGUCCCGAAAGGGACGCUAAUACCGCAUGACAUCCUGUCCUUAGACGGACGGAGAUCAAAGCUGGGGAUCGCAAGACCUGGCGCUUGAAGAGGGCCCGCGCCUGAUUAGCUAGUUGGUGAGGUAACGGCUCACCAAGGCUACGAUCAGUAUCCGGCCUGAGAGGGCGGACGGACACACUGGGACUGAGACACGGCCCAGACUCUACGGGAGCAGCAGUGGGGAAUUGUCGCAAGUGGGC